CUUGCUUCCAGUGCGUUAGACUGGGUGUUAGUGUGACUCCCAUCUUCAGUGAGAGCUGUAGAUUAAAGACUUUCCUUCCAGCGUGAUGCACACACAGCAAUACGAUUUGUUCACUGUUCCGAUAGAAUGGCAGUCUGCUUUCUAGGGCUCUCUGUAAAGAUCUGAACAGCAGAUUCAGUCCCCCGUGCCCUGGUCAGUUGUCUUUGUGACUCGCCCCCCCUAACCCUGCUCUCUCCUCAGCAUUGCUCUAGCAGAGCUGUCACGCUAGCCUGCACAGUAAGGUCGUGUCGUUGCAUUGGCAGGUUACACAGGGUUCAUUCCCACAGUCCGCUGGAGCCUGGCAAAGAACUACUGCAGCGCAGUGCGAGAGGCCGGGAGCAACGAGGAGUGUAAUCAGUACCUCCUACGAAACCCUGGCAGAGCACAGGAAGAAAAAACGAGGUCCCCAGUCAAAGAGCUUUACAGAAGGCGCGGCAUGCUGCCUCGCUACACUGGCUUCCUCCCAGGUGUAAGAUACAAGCAUGGUUUAACCUUUGGCCAGAGUUCAAGAGAGUCAUACUGGGAUCAUCAUAAUCCUG